rnacentral:tRNA from 1 species
GGGCCGCUAGCUCAACUGGCAGAGCAUCGGACUUUUAAUCCGCUGGUUGCAGGUUCGAGUCCUGCGCGGCCCACCA